rnacentral:rRNA from 1 species
AGCACUUGACAUACACCGAACUUGUCAGAGAUGUCUUGGUGCCGGUUCGGUGGAACGUUGAUAC